rnacentral:lncRNA from 14 species
GCCAGACCAGGAGCUGGUUAUUUAGUUAUUAGUUAGAAUAACUUUGGUUUUGCUCAGUUGCUGUUUGCUUCCCUCACCCAGUUUGCCUGAUUCCCCUCCAGAGGAAAGGCAGGUACCCACUGCAGCAGCCUCUGCUUUCCCUGAGUUGAAUACACCGCUACUGCCGCAGGCGUGCAUGUCAGAUCACACCUACCAUAUUGGCUUCCUGUCCCCAGAACAUCAGCUGGAUGCUCAAGAGCAGAGGAUCUAUCAACUGCAGACCAAGCAGAGGGAGAGGCAAGCAGAGCUGGAGCAGAAAUGCAGCCGGAUCCAGCAGCUCAGCCAGGACCUGAGGCCAGCCAUCAGCUGCAGGAGGAAGCUCAGGAGCAGUUGUCUUGCAGGAAUGGCAACUGCCCAGACAAACACCACAUGAAGAUGAAAACCUGCCAGAGAGCCCACGACUCUGCAGCAGAGAUAAUAGUGCAGUUUUUCACCUACCAGGACACCACUGUGAUUCAUCUCGCUCUCCAUAGCUUAUUGCAGAUUCUUAUACUAGCUCCUGAUAGACACCAGUUGCUGUAGCCAAAACCAGCGUUCCAGUUGACCAAAGGAGGAGUAGCAUGCUUGCACAAACCUGCUGGAAAACUACGCCGAUAGUUGCUAGUGUUAGAAGCAGGUUAAGGCUUAAAGCCACAAAUGAUGUUGGAGCAGGCCUUGGCAUAACAGUCUACAGAAGCCACCAGCCCAGGAGCUGCAGUGGCUCUGAGGGUCUCCUCUGGCCAGUACAGUGUAUCUCUGAUUUGGCUGAAGCAUAACUGAGUUUCCUGAGCUCAGUGGGGCUGAAGGGCAAGCUUGGAGUAACAAGCACGAUGAUGAAGUCAACCAGAGUCAUGGCUGAGGCUGAUAGCAGGCAAAGCUCACGGUUACCUCAGAAGUCCCAACUGAGCCACCCAGGAGCAUGUGGAUGGCCCACAUCAGUGUGUGCCUGUACAGCUCUUCCCAUGCUUUCAGCACCCCAUCUCCUUCACCACCAGCUGUGCAUGAUACAGCUGAGUGCUCUUCAGAACAGGCCCUGUGUCUUCUCUUUCUAAGACCUACACGAGGCUCUCCUAUUUCCACAGUAGAGCUGUGCAGUGAGACUCACGCUGGCUGGGAGCAUUGAUCAGGCUGUGCCCACAUGGUCCUGAGAAGGCAAGAACCGUCGCUGGUGUGGUGAGGUACCCAAGAGUGGAGGAAGGGCUGAAGGUGGUUUCAGCUGUAGAGCCCAGAGAGCAAGCAAUGCUACUUCAGAUGGAUUAAGAGCUGCUCCAACAGCCACAGCCAUCUCUACAGGAUUAGGGGAUCCUGGCUGUGAACAGUGCAAUGCAGAAGGCAGUGCUUGGUGGGUGCCUGUCCUACACAUACCACAGCAAGCACUUGAAGUCUGUGAAAGCAAAAGUUGGGUAUGAUUAGAGGUGGCUGUAAACUGGUUUAUCUACUCUGCAAAAAACAAAAGGAAAUUUCACCAAAUAGAAAUGGUCAAAUACUUCCUAGAAAACUGCCCAAAUGUUGCCCAAUGUAACUGUGCAGGUGUAGGCAGAAC